rnacentral:rRNA from 1 species
AUGCAUGUUUAAGCACAAGCCGAUAAAUGGUGAAGCCGCGGACAGCUCAUUAAUACACUCCUAAUCCUAGCAAUGCUUACUUUUAUGGAUAUCUGUGCUAAUUGUAGAGCUAAUACACGCAGAAAAGCCCAAGAUUCUUGGGUGCAUUUAUUAGAACAAAACCAAUCGGGCUUGCCCGUCUGUUGGUGAAUCUGAAUAACUGUGCAGAUCGCAUGGUCCAGUACCGGCGACACAUUGCAGGAGUGAGUGCCUUAUCAACUUUAGAUGGUAGUUUAUGUGCCUACCAUGGUUAUCACGGGUAACGGAGAAUUAGGGUUCGACUCCGGAGAGGGAGCCUUAAAAACGGCUACCACAUCCAAGGAAGGCAGCAGGCGCGCAAAUUACACAAUGACAGCAAAUUGUUGAUGUAGUGACAAGAAAUAACGAGAUGGUUCUCUAUGAGGUCCGUCAUCGGAAUGGGUACAACUUAAACCUUUUAACGAGGAUCAAUUGGAGGGCAAGUCUGGUGCCAGCAGCCGCGGUAAUUCCAGCUCCAAUAGCGUAUAUUAAAGUUGUUGCGGUUAAAAAGCUCGUAGUUGGAUCUGCGACCUUAGAGAGCGGUCCCCCACAGGGUGCGUACUGCUGCUCAGGGUCUUAUUGGCCAGUUUGCCUGUGGUGCCUUUAAACGGGUGCUGCAGGUAGCUGGCGUGUUUACUUUGAAAAAAUUAGAGUGCUCAAAGCAGGCGCUAUCGCCUGAAUAGUGGUGCAUGGAAUAAUGGAAUAGGAUCUCGGUUCUAUUUUGUUGGUUUUCGGAGCGCGAGAUAAUGAUUAAGAGGGACAGACGGGGGCAUUUGUAUUGCUGCGUUAGAGGUGAAAUUCUUGGAUCGCAGCAAGACAAACAACUGCGAAGGCAUUUGCCAAGAAUGUUUUCAUUAAUCAAGAACGAAAGUUAGAG